UAAAUAAAUAAUGCAAAUUCUUGGGCCCCAUCUCAGACCUACUACUUCUGAAAAUCUGGCAGUGGAGCCCAGGAAUCUGUAUUUUAACCC
rnacentral:miRNA from 1 species